rnacentral:misc_RNA from 1 species
GUGAAAACUCUCUGGGGAAAGGUCUUCCUUUCCUCGGAACCUCUCACAUCCACACACACUUGUGCAACGUUCCGGAGGCGUUCCCCUCUCCGACCAUCACGGUCGGGAAGGGAUGCAUGCCCUCGGCUUAUAUCUUCAACUCUUGUCUAACGAAUGUAAUUGCAUACGCCUUAACGGGCAAAAUGAAAAAUA